rnacentral:rRNA from 1 species
UACAGAGGGUGCAAGCGUUAUUCGGAAUUACUGGGCGUAAAGCGCAUGUAGGUGGGAUACAGGGUCAGGUGUGAAAUCCCGGGGCUUAACCUCGGAAUGGCAUUUGAAACCGGUAUUCUUGAGUCUGGGAGAGGGAAGUGGAAUUCCAGGUGUAGAGGUGAAAUUCGUAGAUAUCUGGAGGAACACCGGCGGCGAAGGCGGCUUCCUGGUCCAGUACUGACACUGAGAUGCGAAAGCGUGGGUAGCAAACAGG